CAGAGCAGUCACAUCCCCACAGAAAGAUGACAGCUUUUUCCCUAUUAUUGGUGUACCAGGUGCUAUUUUGUCUCUCGCUGACAACCGUCAUUGAGAUACUGUUUCAGCAGAGGUAAUCUGAUCACCGGAGGGAGCAUGAACGUGACACAGGAAUGUCUGUGGGUAUCUGAAGCAGUGCAUCCCUUUGGAGAUUGGUGAUUUUAAUCACAAAAAUCUCCUGCUGUGUGCACCCUAAUUAUAUCAGAGGUCUCUUCACAUAUUGCGUACUCAUUGGAAGACAGCAUGCUUAAAUAUUUUAAGACUUCUCCAGAAGCAGUAGCCCAGACAACAUGCUGAAGGUGUGACUGAGAAAUGCAAGGAACGCCCUGUGGUGAAAACAGAGGGCAGCAGGUUCUGCAGGAGGUACUGCAGCUGCAGAACAUCCCAGACCACGCGAGAACCACCAUGGCAUGUCUUAGGGUCAUCUCAGCCCACAGUCAUCUUCUCAGCAAGAUCUAAGAGUAACCUCUUAGGG
ensembl:lncRNA